rnacentral:lncRNA from 1 species
UUGAGAUUAUGUAAGUUAUCCAAGAGGAUAUUUCUGUACAUAAAAGGAAUUCGAAUUGGGGCUUUACAUUCGUAGAAAUGAUCAAGAAGUACUCCCCAUGAUUCUGAUCCAGAGUAUGUUCCUAUCCACUGAGUAAGUAAAUAACUAUCAAGCACUUACCAAUGAGGUCCUAUCGAUUAGUAUUACACAGUAAUUGAGAUUAUGUAAGUUAUCCAAGAGGAUAUUUCUGUACAUAAAAGGAAUUCGAAUUGGG